rnacentral:rRNA from 1 species
CACGUAGGUGGCAAGCGUUAUCCGGAAUUACUGGGCGUAAAGGGUCCGCAGGUGGGAAGGUAAGUCUGAUGUGACAGCGCCCGGCUCAACUGGGCGUGGCCAUUGGAAACUGCCAUUCUUGAGUCACGCAGAGGGGUGCGGAAUUCCGGGUGUAGUGGUGGAAUGCGUAGAGAUCCGGAGGAACACCAAAGGCGCAAGCAGCACCCUGGGCGAGGACUGACACUGAGGGACGAAAGCAUGGGGAGCAAACAGG